rnacentral:lncRNA from 1 species
AGAAAAUCUUACAGAAAAGAAAAAGCCUUGGAAAUCUAUCCACAGCUGAUCACAUGGGAAGGGGAAUUGCUUUCUGCAAUGCCACCGAGUCAGCUGCCUGCAAGCAAAAGGGACAGGCAUGUGUUCCUCGUCCAGGUGUUGUUUGGUGUUGUUAUGACCCUGUGCACCCACAGUUGCUGGAAACAUGGCAGAGCCAUCUCUCAGUGAGAUCGCUCCACUGCCAGCCAGCUCUUCCGGGCUGUGCAGUCUGGCACGGGCAGACAAAGCCGACUGAGUCAGCUACAAAAACAAGGCGCCGCCCAUUAUUCUACAGGCUGGACUGGACUGCUGCUGGGGGAUCGCGAGCGCCAGACAAUAAAUGAAUCCUCUCCGGUUAAUCGUCACCCCUGCCAAUGGGACGGAGCUGGGGAGCCAGCAGGCAGAUCCUAGCAUGUCCAUUUUCUACCCACUUGCGCUCAGCAAGAGAUGGAGCCAGCUGUGCAAGCCAUGGCUGCCUCACUGGGAACCCAGCCUCGUUACCGGCCUCCCCACGUCUUGACCAGCUGGGCCUCAGAGGAAGUCACCACACGGGAUCGUCAUCUCCAUAAAGUGAACUGACACAAGAGCGUCCCAGCAUCUCGCUACCUUGCCCGCAGGUACGGUAAUUUGGGUAAUUAGGGCAGGCUCAGCACCACCCUGACGCAGAACAGAAACCUGCACAGAAAUUCAAAGGAACAAAGCUGUCAACUUCAGUGAGUUCCUCACCCAGAAGACCUCACUCGCAAUCACCCAUGGAAACCAGGUACUUGCACAGGCAGGCCGUCCCGAAAGCAUCCAGAUCCAC